ACGGGGGGAGCAAGCGUUGUUCGGAUUUACUGGGCGUAAAGGGCGCGUAGGCGGUCAGCACAAGUCAGUUGUGAAAUCUCCGAGCUUAACUCGGAAAGGUCAACUGAUACUGUGCGACUAGAGUGCAGAAGGGGCAACUGGAAUUCUCGGUGUAGCGGUGAAAUGCGUAGAUAUCGCUUGGAACGCCAACGGUGAAAACAGGCUGCUGGGGGUGUGCUGACGCUGAGACACGAAAGCCAGGGGAGCGAACGGGA
rnacentral:rRNA from 1 species